AUACUCUAAUAGUUUAUAGAAAACAUU
rnacentral:tRNA from 11 species